GGAACAACAAGAUGACGUAAUAAAAAAGAGCACCAGUCAAACCUCAAAACAACGUAAAUAUGACAUUUCUGUUUGUUUCAUGUAUUAAUUGGAGGAACGUUAAAGUCUCCUCAUCGCUCCACACGGAUAUGAUGUUUUUAUUUGCCGCUACUUGUCUUCUGGUUCUCUUCAGCGGAGCAGAAACGUUAAGUGGACGUUAACAGAGUGGCAUCCUUCAAAGGCUGUAUUUGAAGACCGAGGCCGUUCCUCUUCCAAGGCUUCUUCAAAGGCGGCCUUCUUUUCCUGAAUCUGGAGGAUCCGACAGAUGGAUCCUUCACAGCCCAACGUAUCCCAGAAUGCAUUUCGUAACAAGUGGCAGCAGCAACGGUGGAGAUUUUCAGCCAGGCUAAGCUGUUUCUUCACUAUGUGAGGAGCCGCUGACCAGGUGAGACCAGCCGGUCAUCUCAGCUGAUAGCAGCCUAGCGACUCCUGAGACGAUCAGCUGGUCAACAUGUCGUCGUCCCGGUGGUCAAGGUUGCUAGGCGACGGGAGCAGCGCUUCGUGAUGCGAGGGUAAAGGUGGGAACAGCUGGUGACGCAAACUGUCUCAUUUAACAACCGCGUCCUUCGAAGGAUGACGGUGAAUCAUCGGUACGUGACAGCAGAGACUCGUCAUCAGCUCACAUCUGCAUCACUCUGAUGUUUGAAAAUGCUGCAAAGUCACAGAAAACUUUUGGUUUGUUUCUGAGAUCUAGAAGCAACGUUUUUGGAUUGACGACCGAAGAUUUCACCCUGUUUCUCUCACGAUCGUCUUGACUUUUAUCUCAGACAGUGUAAAAGAAGCCUGAAGAUGAUUCUGUCCUGCAGGCUGAUGAGAGCUGGAUGGCUGAAAACAAUUUGUCUUUUUUAUCUGUUGUAAAUAAAAUGACUUCAUGUCAUUGAGUGUGA